AGAGUUUGAUUCUGGCUCAGGACGAACGCUGGCGGCGCGCUUAACACAUGCAAGUCGUGCGAUACCUUGAGCGAGUCUUACGACAAGCUCAAGGUAGAGCGGCGGACGGGUGAGUAACACGUGAGUAGCUGUCCUAAGGAGGGGGAUAACGCCUGGAAACGGGUGCUAAAACCCCAUAUGCCUCGCAAGAGGUGAAAAUGUAUUACUACAGCCUUAGGGUGUGCUCGCGGCCUAUCAGCUAGUUGGUGAGGUAACGGCUCACCAAGGCUAAGACGGGUAGCCGGCCUGAGAGGGUGUACGGCCACACUGGAAUUGAGAUACGGUCCAGACUCCUACGGGAGGCAGCAGUGGGGAAUCUUGGGCAAUGGGCGAAAGCCUGACCCAGCGACGCCGCGUUGGGGAUGAAGCCCUUCGGGGUGUAAACCCAUGUUGUAGGGGACGAAGAAAGUGACGGUACCCUACGAGGAAGCCCCGGCUAACUACGUGCCAGCAGCCGCGGUAAGACGUAGGGGGCAAGCGUUGUCCGGAAUUACUGGGCGUAAAGGGCACGCAGGCGGUGCGCCAAGUCGAGGGUGUAAAGUUACGGCUCAACCGUGACAUUGCAAUCGAUACUGGCGCGCUGGAGUGCGGGAGAGGGAAGUGGAAUUCCCGGUGUAGCGGUGAAAUGCGUAGAUAUCGGGAGGAACGCCAGUGGCGAAGGCGGCUUCCUGGCCCGCGACUGACGCUCAUGUGCGAAAGCCAGGGGAGCGAACCGGA
rnacentral:rRNA from 1 species